rnacentral:snoRNA from 1 species
AUUCGGCAUGAUAACUGGACGACGGUCUCUACAACCAACGACCCUAGUCUUUUAAGUUGCCGAUAGAUGAUACAGCGAGGGUCUUACACGUUCUCGGAGUCUCCCAAUGAUGUACAAUGUUUAAACGCUCGCAACAUUU